rnacentral:rRNA from 1 species
GGGCUCAUUUCCACGAGUUCCGUGCCGCAGCAAACGCAUUAAGUGCCCCGCCUGGGGAGUACGGCCGCAAGGCUAAAACUCAAAGGAAUUGACGGGGGCCCGCACAAGCGGCGGAGCAUGCGGAUUAAUUCGAUGCAACGCGAAGAACCUUACCAAGGCUUGACAUGCACGGGAAGCCACCAGAGAUGGUGGUCUCUUUGGACACUCGUGCACAGGUGGUGCAUGGUUGUCGUCAGCUCGUGUCGUGAGAUGUUGGGUUAAGUCCCGCAACGAGCGCAACCCUCGUCCCAUGUUGCCAGCGGGUUAUGCCGGGGACUCAUGGGAGACUGCCGGGGUCAACUCGGAGGAAGGUGGGGAUGACGUCAAAUCAUCAUGCCCCUUAUGUCUUGGGCUUCACGCAUGCUACAAUGGCCGGUACAAAGGGCUGCGAUGCCGUAAGGUGGAGCGAAUCCCAAAAAGCCGGUCUCAGUUCGGAUUGGGGUCUGCAACUCGACCCCAUGAAGUCGGAGUCGCUAGUAAUCGCAGAUCAGCAACGCUGCGGUGAAUACGUUCCCGGGCCUUGUACACACCGCCCGUCAAGUCACGAAAGUCGGUAACACCCGAAGCCCAUGGCCCAACCGUUCGCGGGGGGAGUGGUCGAAGGUGGGACUGGCGAUUGGGACUAAGUCGUAACAAGGUAA